AAGACUAUACUUUCAGGGAUCAUUUCUAUAGUUCUUUACUAAAAUAUUGAUAUUUCUGGGUGGAGGGUAGAUAGCAUAGUGGUUAUGC
rnacentral:snoRNA from 1 species